rnacentral:rRNA from 1 species
UACGUAGGGUGCAAGCGUUGUCCGGAAUUAUUGGGCGUAAAGAGCUCGUAGGCGGUCUGUCGCGUCGGCUGUGAAAACCUGAGGCUCAACCUCGGGCCUGCAGUCGAUACGGGCAGACUAGAGUUCGGUAGGGGAGACUGGAAUUCCUGGUGUAGCGGUGGAAUGCGCAGAUAUCAGGAGGAACACCGGUGGCGAAGGCGGGUCUCUGGGCCGAAACUGACGCUGAGACGCGAAAGCGUGGGGAGCAAACAGG